GAUCAUGGCUCAGGACGAACGCUGGCGGCGUGCCUAACACAUGCAAGUCGAGCGAUGAAGCCCUUCGGGGUGAAUUAGCGGCGGACGGGUGAGUAACACGUGGGUAACCUGCCUUAUAGAGGGGGAUAGCCUUCCGAAAGGAAGAUUAAUACCGCAUGAAAUGUUUUUAUCGCAUGGUAGAAACAUCAAAGGAGUAAUCCGCUAUAAGAUGGACCCGCGGCGCAUUAGCUAGUUGGUGAGGUAACGGCCCACCAAGGCGACGAUGCGUAGCCGACCUGAGAGGGUGAUCGGCCACAUUGGAACUGAGACACGGUCCAGACUCCUACGGGAGGCAGCAGUGGGGAAUAUUGCGCAAUGGGGGAAACCCUGACGCCAGCAACGCCGCGUGAAUGAAGAAGGCCUUAGGGUUGUAAAGUUCUGUUUUCUGGGACGAUAAUGACGGUACCAGAGGAGGAAGCCACGGCUAACUACGUGCCAGCAGCAGC
rnacentral:rRNA from 1 species